UACGUAGGGGGCAAGCGUUGUCCGGAUUUAUUGGGCGUAAAGAGCGUGUAGGCGGCCAGGUAGGUCUGAUGUGAAAGCCCACGGCUCAACCGUGGAGGGUCAUUGGAAACUGGGGGACUUGAGUGCAGGAGAGAAGAGUGGAAUUCCACGUGUAGCGGUGAAAUGCGUAGAGAUGUGGAGGAACACCAGUGGCGAAGGCGACUCUGUGGCCUGUAACUGACGCUGAGGCGCGAAAGCGUGGGGAGCAAACAGG
rnacentral:rRNA from 1 species